AGAGUUUGAUUCUGGCUCAGAACGAACGCUGGCAGCGUGGAUUAGGCAUGCAAGUCGAACGUGAAGCCGAUGACCAAUCUUUCGGGAAAGUGAUUCGGUGGAAAGUGGCGAAAGGGUGAGUAACGCGUGGGUAAGCUAUCUUCAAGUUCGGGACAACCCGCCGAAAGGCGAGCUAAUACCGAAUGUGGUCUUUGGAUGCAUAUCCGGAUGAUUAAAGGUGGGGCUCCUUUUGGACCUGCCGCUUUUAGAGGUGCCCGCGUGCCAUCAGCUUGUUGGUAGGGUAACGGCCUACCAAGGCUUACGGCUAGCCGGCCUGAGAGGGUGACCGGCCACACUGGGACUGAGACACUGCCCAGACUCCUACGGGAGGCUGCAGUCGAGGAUCAUUCGCAAUGCGCGAAAGCGUGACGAUGCGACGCUGCGUGGAGGAUGAAGGCCUUCGGGUCGUAAACUCCUGUCAUGAGGGAACAGCCAUUUCGCCCCUAAUACGGGUGGGAUCGAUGGUACCUCAAGAGGAAGCCACGGCUAACUCUGUGCCAGCAGCCGCGGUAAUACAGAGGUGGCGAGCGUUGUUCGGAUUUACUGGGCGUAAAGGGUGCGUAGGUGGUUUUGUAUGUCGGAUGUGAAAGCCCAUGGCUCAACCGUGGAAUUGCAUUCGAAACUGCGGAACUAGAGUGCAGGAUGGGAGAGCGGAGUUCUUGGUGUAGCGGUGAAAUGCGUUGAUAUCAAGAAGAACACCGGUGGCGAAGGCGGCUCUCUGGAAUGUCACUGACACUGAGGCACGAAAGCUGGGGGAGCAAACAGGAUUAGAUACCCUGGUAGCCCCAGCCGUAAACGGUGCACACUUGGUGUGGGGAGAUUUAACCCUCUCCGUGCCGGAGCUAACGCGUUAAGUGUGCCGCCUGGGGAGUACGGCCGCAAGGCUAAAACUCAAAGAAAUUGACGGGGGCCCGCACAAGCGGAGGAGCAUGUGGCUUAAUUCGAUGCAACGCGAAGAACCUUACCAGGGCUUGACAUAUACCUGCACGCCCCUCGAAAGGGGGGAAGCCUUCGAGGGUGGUAUACAGGUGCUGCAUGGCUGUCGUCAGUUCGUGCUGUGAGGUGUUGGGUUAAGUCCCGUAACGAACGCAACCCUUGUGGUUAGUUGCCACCGGCGGUGAUGAGCCGCCGAGCACUCUAGCCAGACUGCCCGUACAAGCGGGAGGAAGGUGGGGAUGACGUCAAGUCAGUAUGGCCCUUACGCCCUGGGCUGCACACGUGCUACAAUGGGCGGUACAAUGGGAAGCAAUACCGCGAGGUGGAGCAAAUCCCCAAAGCCGCCCCCAGUUCGGAUUGAAGUCUGCAACUCGACUUCAUGAAGUUGGAUUCGCUUAACGGCGCAUCAGCUACGGCGCCGUGAAUACGUUCCCGGGCCUUGUACACACCGCCCGUCACAUCAUGAAAGCCGUCUGCACCCGAAGUCGCUGAUCCAACCCGCAAGGGAGGAAGGUGCCGAAGGUGUGGGUGGUGAUUGGGAUGAAGUCGGAACAAGGUA
rnacentral:rRNA from 1 species